AUUGAACGCUGGCGGCAGGCUUAACACAUGCAAGUCGAGCGGGGGAAGGUAGCUUGCUACUGGACCUAGCGGCGGACGGGUGAGUAAUGCUUAGGAAUCUGCCUAUUAGUGGGGGACAACAUCUCGAAAGGGAUGCUAAUACCGCAUACGUCCUACGGGAGAAAGCAGGGGAUCUUCGGACCUUGCGCUAAUAGAUGAGCCUAAGUCGGAUUAGCUAGUUGGUGGGGUAAAGGCCUACCAAGGCGACGAUCUGUAGCGGGUCUGAGAGGAUGAUCCGCCACACUGGGACUGAGACACGGCCCAGACUCCUACGGGAGGCAGCAGUGGGGAAUAUUGGACAAUGGGCGGAAGCCUGAUCCAGCCAUGCCGCGUGUGUGAAGAAGGCCUUUUGGUUGUAAAGCACUUUAAGCGAGGAGGAGGCUCUUAAGGUUAAUACCCUUGAUGAGUGGACGUUACUCGCAGAAUAAGCACCGGCUAACUCUGUGCCAGCAGCCGCCGCUG
rnacentral:rRNA from 1 species